rnacentral:rRNA from 1 species
GAUGAACGCUAGCGGGAGGCUUAACACAUGCAAGUCGAGGGGUAUAGUAGCAAUACUAGAGACCGGCGCACGGGUGCGUAACGCGUAUGCAAUCUACCUUUUGCAGAGGGAUAGCCCAGAGAAAUUUGGAUUAAUACCUCAUAGUAUAUAUGGAUGGCAUCAUUUAUAUAUUAAAGUCACAACGGCAAAAGAUGAGCAUGCGUCCCAUUAGCUUGUUGGUAAGGUAACGGCUUACCAAGGCAACGAUGGGUAGGGGUCCUGAGAGGGAGAUCCCCCACACUGGUACUGAGACACGGACCAGACUCCUACGGGAGGCAGCAGUGAGGAAUAUUGGACAAUGGGCGCAAGCCUGAUCCAGCCAUGCCGCGUGCAGGAUGACGGUCCUAUGGAUUGUAAACUGCUUUUGCACAGGAAGAAACAACGCUACGUGUAGCGUCUUGACGGUACUGUGAGAAUAAGGAUCGGCUAACUCCGUG